UAAGAUAGUGUUUGCAGCCAGCCUUGGA
rnacentral:piRNA from 1 species